UACGAAGGGGGCUAGCGUUGUUCGGAAUUACUGGGCGUAAAGCGCGCGCAGGCGGUCCUUUAAGUCGGGGGUGAAAGCCCAGAGCUCAACUCUGGAACUGCCUUCGAAACUAGAGGACUUGGGUACGGGAGAGGUGAGUGGAAUUCCGAGUGUAGAGGUGAAAUUCGUAGAUAUUCGGAAGAACACCAGUGGCGAAGGCGGCUCACUGGCCCGGUACUGACGCUCAUGUGCGAAAGCGUGGGGAGCAAACAGG
rnacentral:rRNA from 1 species